UGGGGAAUAUUGCACAAUGGGCGCAAGCCUGAUGCAGCCAUGCCGCGUGUAUGAAGAAGGCCUUCGGGUUGUAAAGUACUUUCAGCGGGGAGGAAGGUGUUGUGGUUAAUAACCACAGCAAUUGACGUUACCCGCAGAAGAAGCACCGGCUAACUCCGUGCCAGCAGCCGCGGUAAUACGGAGGGUGCAAGCGUUAAUCGGAAUUACUGGGCGUAAAGCGCACGCAGGCGAUCUGUCAAGUCGGAUGUGAAAUCCCCGGGCUCAACCUGGGAACUGCAUUCGAAACUGGCAGGCUUGAGUCUUGUAGAGGGGGGUAGAAUUCCAGGUGUAGCGGUGAAGUGCGUAGAAAUCUGGAGGAAUACCGGUGG
rnacentral:rRNA from 1 species